rnacentral:lncRNA from 1 species
GACCUCGCCCAAACUCCUACGGGUACCGAACCUCACUACCGACUCUAACCGAACUUCAGCCGACGGAUCUGCACUCCCUGGCAGGCCACGAUAACGGCCACGAUCCUGCUCCACUUCCUGCGAUGGAUUUCGCGCAGCUCCAUCACUCCCUGACAGGCCGUAGUAACGGUCACAACACUGCUCCACUUCCUACGACGGAUCUCGCGCAGCUCCACUACUCCCUGGCAGGCCACAAUAACGACCACGAUCCUGCUCCAC